AUUGAACGCUGGCGGCAGGCCUAACACAUGCAAGUCGAGCGGAUGACGGGAGCUUGCUCCUGGAUUCAGCGGCGGACGGGUGAGUAAUGCCUAGGAAUCUGCCUGGUAGUGGGGGACAACGUUUCGAAAGGAACGCUAAUACCGCAUACGUCCUACGGGAGAAAGCAGGGGACCUUCGGGCCUUGCGCUAUCAGAUGAGCCUAGGUCGGAUUAGCUUGUUGGUGAGGUAAUGGCUCACCAAGGCGACGAUCCGUAACUGGUCUGAGAGGAUGAUCAGUCACACUGGAACUGAGACGCGGUCCAGACUCCUACGGGAGGCAGCAGUGGGGAAUAUUGGACAAUGGGGGAAAGCCUGAUCCAGCCAUGCCGCGUGUGUGAAGAAGGUCUUCGGAUUGUAAAGCACUUUAAGUUGGGAGGAAGGGUUGUAGAUUAAUACUCUGCAAUUUUGACGUUACCGACAGAAUAAGCACCGGCUAACUCUGUGCCAGCCGCCGCCGUAAUAC
rnacentral:rRNA from 1 species